UUCGUGUGAACAGUGGUUGAUCACGAGUUAGUCGGUCCUAAGUUCAAGGCGAAAGCCGAAAAUUUUCAAGUAAAUUGUAAAUUUAUAUAUAUAUUUGUUAAUUUAAAACACUUGAAUAAUUUUGAACGAAAGGGAAUACGGUUCCAAUUCCGUAACCUGUUGAGUAUCCGUUUGUUAUUAAAUAUGGGCCUCGUGCUCAUCCUGGCAACAGGAACGACCAUAAAGAAGCCGUCGAGAGAUAUCGGAAGAGUUUUCUUUUCUGUUUUAUAGCCGUACUACCAUGGAAGUCUUUCGCAGAGAGAUAUGGUAGAUGGGCUAGAAGAGCAUGACAUAUACUGUUGUGUCGAUAUUUUCUCCUCGGACCUUGAAAAUUUAUGGUGGGGAUACGCAAACUUCUCAACAGGCCGUACCAAUAUCCGCAGCUGGUCUCCAAGGUGAAGAGUCUCUAGUCGAUAGAAUA
rnacentral:rRNA from 1 species